rnacentral:rRNA from 1 species
GCGCGCGGCCGGCCUCCGGGCCUCCGGGCGUCCGCCGGGGACAACCAAACCCGAAUUUUUCGUGUAUAUCUGAGGGGCGAAAGCCCGAAAACAAAAUGAAUCAAAACUUUCAACAACGGAUCUCUUGGCUCUGGCAUCGAUGAAGAACGCAGCGAAAUGCGAUAAGUAAUGUGAAUUGCAGAAUUCAGUGAAUCAUCGAAUCUUUGAACGCACAUUGCGCCCGCCGGCACUCCGGCGGGCAUGCCUGUCCGAGCGUCAUUUCAACCCUCAGGGCCACCCUUUCGGGGGUUCGGCACCUGGUGCUGGGGAUCAGCGGCCCUCCGGGGCCCCUGUCCCCCAAAUUCAGUGGCGGUCGCGCCGCAGCCUCCCCUGCGUAGUAGCACACCUCGCACCGGAGAGCGGCUCGGCCACGCCGUGAAACCCCCAACUUUCACAAGGUUGACCUCGGAUCAGGUAGGAAUACCCGCUGAACUUAAGC